rnacentral:rRNA from 1 species
GGGUUGUGAGGUUAAGCGACUAAGCGUACACGGUGGAUGCCCUGGCAGUCAGAGGCGAUGAAGGGCGUGCUAAUCUGCGAUAAGCGCCGGUAAGGUGAUAUGAACCGUUAUAACCGGCGAUACCCGAAUGGGGAAACCCAGUGUGACUCGUCACACUAUCAUUAACUGAAUCCAUAGGUUAAUGAGGCGAACCGGGGGAACUGAAACAUCUAAGUACCCCGAGGAAAAGAAAUCAACCGAGAUUCCCCCAGUAGCGGCGAGCGAACGGGGAGGAGCCCAGAGCCUGAAUCAGCAUGUGUGUUAGUGGAAGCGUCUGGAAAGGCGCGCGAUACAGGGUGACAGCCCCGUACACAAAAGCGCAUGUGCUGUGAGCUCGAUGAGUAGGGCGGGACACGUGGUAUCCUGUCUGAAUAUGGGGGGACCAUCCUCCAAGGCUAAAUACUCCUGACUGACCGAUAGUGAACCAGUACCGUGAGGGAAAGGCGAAAAGAACCCCGGCGAGGGGAGUGAAAAAGAACCUGAAACCGUGUACGUACAAGCAGUGGGAGCACAGGUUUACCUGUGUGACUGCGUACCUUUUGUAUAAUGGGUCAGCGACUUAUAUUCUGUAGCAAGGUUAACCGAAUAGGGGAGCCGGAGGGAAACCGAGUCUUAACCGGGCGUUAAGUUGCAGGGUAUAGACCCGAAACCCGGUGAUCUAGCCAUGGGCAGGUUGAAGGUUGGGUAACACUAACUGGAGGACCGAACCGACUAAUGUUGAAAAAUUAGCGGAUGACCUGUGGCUGGGGGUGAAAGGCCAAUCAAACCGGGAGAUAGCUGGUUCUCCCCGAAAGCUAUUUAGGUAGCGCCUCGUGAAUUCAUCUCCGGGGGUAGAGCACUGUUUCGGCUAGGGGGCCAUCCCGGCUUACCAACCCGAUGCAAACUGCGAAUACCGGAGAAUGUUAUCACGGGAGACACACGGCGGGUGCUAACGUCCGUCGUGAAGAGGGAAACAACCCAGACCGCCAGCUAAGGUCCCAAAGUCAUGGUUAAGUGGGAAACGAUGUGGGAAGGCCCAGACAGCCAGGAUGUUGGCUUAGAAGCAGCCAUCAUUUAAAGAAAGCGUAAUAGCUCACUGGUCGAGUCGGCCUGCGCGGAAGAUGUAACGGGGCUAAACCAUGCACCGAAGCUGCGGCAGCGACGCUUAUGCGUUGUUGGGUAGGGGAGCGUUCUGUAAGCCUGUGAAGGUGGCCUGUGAGGGUUGCUGGAGGUAUCAGAAGUGCGAAUGCUGACAUAAGUAACGAUAAAGCGGGUGAAAAGCCCGCUCGCCGGAAGACCAAGGGUUCCUGUCCAACGUUAAUCGGGGCAGGGUGAGUCGACCCCUAAGGCGAGGCCGAAAGGCGUAGUCGAUGGGAAACGGGUUAAUAUUCCCGUACUUGGUGUUACUGCGAAGGGGGGACGGAGAAGGCUAUGUUGGCCGGGCGACGGUUGUCCCGGUUUAAGCGUGUAGGCUGGUUUUCCAGGCAAAUCCGGAAAAUCAAGGCUGAGGCGUGAUGACGAGGCACUACGGUGCUGAAGCAACAAAUGCCCUGCUUCCAGGAAAAGCCUCUAAGCAUCAGGUAACAUCAAAUCGUACCCCAAACCGACACAGGUGGUCAGGUAGAGAAUACCAAGGCGCUUGAGAGAACUCGGGUGAAGGAACUAGGCAAAAUGGUGCCGUAACUUCGGGAGAAGGCACGCUGACACGUAGGUGAAGUGAUUUACUCAUGGAGCUGAAGUCAGUCGAAGAUACCAGCUGGCUGCAACUGUUUAUUAAAAACACAGCACUGUGCAAACACGAAAGUGGACGUAUACGGUGUGACGCCUGCCCGGUGCCGGAAGGUUAAUUGAUGGGGUCAGCGCAAGCGAAGCUCCUGAUCGAAGCCCCGGUAAACGGCGGCCGUAACUAUAACGGUCCUAAGGUAGCGAAAUUCCUUGUCGGGUAAGUUCCGACCUGCACGAAUGGCGUAAUGAUGGCCAGGCUGUCUCCACCCGAGACUCAGUGAAAUUGAACUCGCUGUGAAGAUGCAGUGUACCCGCGGCAAGACGGAAAGACCCCGUGAACCUUUACUAUAGCUUGACACUGAACAUUGAGCCUUGAUGUGUAGGAUAGGUGGGAGGCUUUGAAGUGUGGACGCCAGUCUGCAUGGAGCCGACCUUGAAAUACCACCCUUUAAUGUUUGAUGUUCUAACGUGGACCCGUAAUCCGGGUUGCGGACAGUGUCUGGUGGGUAGUUUGACUGGGGCGGUCUCCUCCUAAAGAGUAACGGAGGAGCACGAAGGUUGGCUAAUCCUGGUCGGACAUCAGGAGGUUAGUGCAAUGGCAUAAGCCAGCUUGACUGCGAGCGUGACGGCGCGAGCAGGUGCGAAAGCAGGUCAUAGUGAUCCGGUGGUUCUGAAUGGAAGGGCCAUCGCUCAACGGAUAAAAGGUACUCCGGGGAUAACAGGCUGAUACCGCCCAAGAGUUCAUAUCGACGGCGGUGUUUGGCACCUCGAUGUCGGCUCAUCACAUCCUGGGGCUGAAGUAGGUCCCAAGGGUAUGGCUGUUCGCCAUUUAAAGUGGUACGCGAGCUGGGUUUAGAACGUCGUGAGACAGUUCGGUCCCUAUCUGCCGUGGGCGCUGGAGAACUGAGGGGGGCUGCUCCUAGUACGAGAGGACCGGAGUGGACGCAUCACUGGUGUUCGGGUUGUCAUGCCAAUGGCACUGCCCGGUAGCUAAAUGCGGAAGAGAUAAGUGCUGAAAGCAUCUAAGCACGAAACUUGCCCCGAGAUGAGUUCUCCCUGAGACUUAGAGUCUCCUGAAGGAACGUUGAAGACGACGACGUUGAUAGGCCGGGUGUGUAAGCGCAGCGAUGCGUUGAGCUAACCGGUACUAAUGAACCGUGAGGCUUAACCUUACAACGCCGAAG